rnacentral:rRNA from 1 species
GAUGAACGCUAGCUACAGGCUUAACACAUGCAAGUCGAGGGGAAACGAUAUUGGAAGCUUGCUUCCGAUAGGCGUCGACCGGCGCACGGGUGAGUAACGCGUAUCCAACCUGCCCAUCACUUGGGGAUAACCUUGCGAAAGUAAGACUAAUACCCAAUGACGUCUCUAGAAGACAUCUGAAAGAGAUUAAAGAUUUAUCGGUGAUGGAUGGGGAUGCGUCUGAUUAGGUAGUAGGCGGGGUAACGGCCCACCUAGCCAACGAUGGAUAGGGGUUCUGAGAGGAAGGUCCCCCACAUUGGAACUGAGACACGGUCCAAACUCCUACGGGAGGCAGCAGUGAGGAAUAUUGGUCAAUGGGACGAGAGUCUGAACCAGCCAAGUAGCGUGAAGGAUGAAGGUCCUACGGAUUGUAAAACUUCUUUUAUAAGGGAAUAAACCCUCCCACGUGUGGGAGCUUGUAUGUACCUUAUGAAUAAGCAUCGGCUAACUCCGUGCCAGCAGCCGCGGU